rnacentral:misc_RNA from 1 species
GCGGCUUCUGCUUCUCUUUGGGCUGCGGCUUCGGCUUCUGCUUCUGCUUCUUGGGCUCUGGCUUUGACCCCUAUUUGGAGUUCUACUGUGGCUCCUUGAACGAGAAUAUGACCUCUCUCGACUAUACCUCUUCUCUUGUGGUGAAACAGAUCUUGAGUAAUGACGUCUUCUAGGAGGGGAAUAAUAUUCACGACUGUGAGACCGAGAUCUUGCAUUGCGUGGAGGUGGGGAACGAGAAUAGCGAGGUGAGCGUGAAUAACGUGGUGGGGAUCGCCUUCGAUCACGAAAU